CGCCUCAACAUGGCGGUAACGAAUUGCUGUACCUCGCUCGGUACGUAUUCGGUUUAAAAAAAAUUCAACAGACUGAAGUGAAACUGCGUCCUCAGUUGACUGCAUCUUCAACAACGCACUCUCAGAACAGUCCAGUGGAUCAAGCAUUGUGCAUUCUCUCUCUCAUUGGUAUGCUUCAACUGCAAAGUACUAUGUAGAAGAUGGAUAGUAGAAACUCUCCAAACCUGGCAUUUGUGCUAACUAGGGGAAUGUGAGUAACAGGGAUAGUAGCAACGUCAUAUUCACUUCCAAGGUGCGUUGCCACUCCUCAUUCGUUGCUGGAUGAAAAUCCUGGAGCUCCCUAACUAACACCACAAUGACAAUAGUAGUGUUUCAUUGAGGGAAAACUGGAAUGGUGCCUUCCCACUGACGUCAGUGUUUUAACACCAUUAAAGGAACUGGAUAUGGAACCGGUGACCAUUUGAAUAUGAGCGUGUCUGGGCAGGGAGCCUAUGGUCUGUACAGUAUGAUGGAGUCUGGGCAUGGAGGCUGUGAUCACCAUCAACAUGAUGUUGACUGUAGCUGUGCGGUGUCUUCCUUUUGGAUUCUGAGCAGAGGUUAAUAUCUCUAGCCAAUUGUUUCUUGUCUGACAGGAGGCGCUUUGAUUUCACAAAAUAUAAGCUUGUUUCUAAAGCCACAUGUUGUAUGCUGUCAAACACAAACUGGCUGUUAUCUCAUACUGUAACGUAAUCCCUUGUGAGGCUGAAUAAAGCUCUGACCUUC